rnacentral:rRNA from 1 species
GAUGAACGCUGGCGGCGUGCCUAAUACAUGCAAGUCGAGCGAAGCGGGGACGGGUGAGUAACACGUGGAUAACCUCCUAUAAGACUGGGAUAACUUCGGGAAACCGGAGCUAAACCGGAUACUUAUAGAUGGAUCCGCGCUGCAUUAGCUAGUUGGUAAGGUAACGGCUUACCAAGGCAACGAUGCAUAGCCGACCUGAGAGGGGGGUCGGCCAACACGGAACCUGGACACGGGCCAGAACUCUAACGGAGGCCACCGUAGGGAAACUUUCCCAAUGGGCCGAAGCCUGAAGGGGCCAACCCGGGUGGGGUGAGAAGGUCUUCCGAUCGUAAAACUCUGUUAUUUGGGAAGCGGUACCUAAUCAGAAAGCCACGGCUAACUACGUGCCAGCAGCCGCGGUAAUUC